rnacentral:rRNA from 1 species
UGCUAUGGUAUAACUUAGUGGCAGACGGGUGAGUAAUGUAUAGGAAUCUACCUAGUAGUACGGAAUAAUUGUUGGAAACGGCAACUAAUACCGUAUACGCCCUACGGGGGAAAAAUUUAUUGCUAUUAGAUGAGCCUAUAUUAGAUUAGCUAGUUGGUGGAGUAAUAGCCUACCAAGGCAAUGAUCUAUAGCUGAUCUGAGAGGAUGAUCAGCCACACUGGAACUGAGAUACGGUCCAGGCUCCUACGGGAGGCAGCAGUGGGGAAUAUUGGACAAUGGGCGAAAGCCUGAUCCAGCCAUGCCGCAUGAGUGAAGAAGGCCUUUGGGUUGUAAAGCUCUUUUAGUGAGGAAGAUAAUGACGGUACUCACAGAAGAAGUCCUGGCUAACUCCGUGCCAGCAGCCGCGGUAAUACGGAGAGGGCUAGCGUUAUUCGGAAUUAUUGGGCGUAAAGGGCGCGUAGGCGGAUUAGUAAGUUAAAAGUGAAAUCCCAAGGCUCAACCUUGGAAUUGCUUUUAAAACUGCUAAUCUAGAGAUUGAAAGAGGAUAGAGGAAUUCCUAGUGUAGAGGUGAAAUUCGUAAAUAUUAGGAGGAACACCAGUGGCGAAGGCGUCUAUCUGGUUCAAAUCUGACGCUGAGGCGCGAAGGCGUGGGGAGCAAACAGGAUUAGAUACCCUGGUAGUCCACGCUGUAAACGAUGAAUGUUAAAUAUGGGAAGUUUACUUUCUGUAUUACAGCUAACGCGUUAAACAUUCCGCCUGGGGACUACGGUCGCAAGAUUAAAACUCAAAGGAAUUGACGGGGACCCGCACAAGCGGUGGAGCAUGUGGUUUAAUUCGAUGCAACGCGAAAAACCUUACCACUCCUUGACAUGAAAAUC